GUCAGUUCAAUCCCCAUAGAAAAGCUUUUGCAUUCCCCCUCCCCCCUCACCGGGUGACACUGGAAGAUGCAGAGUGCCAACCCAACCACAGAGGGGCAUCGGCACUGGGAUUGGUUAAGUAAAUAACUGACGGAUUUGGAGGGGAAGCAAGGGAGAGGAGAGUUAGAGGGAACUAUGGUGCUAAGAAUGCACAUUUAUAUUCCUAGCACUAUAGUAUAAGUUGGCAUAAAAAAGGACCUGACAAAAAUGGUGCAGAUUGGCAUUGUG